CGGGUGAGAGUAGAGUGGCGCACGGGUGAGUAACGCGUGGGAACCUGCCAAGCAGUGGGGAAUAGCCUCGGGAAACUGGGAGUAAUACCGUAUGUGCCCUUCGGGGGAAAGAUUUAUCGCCAAAGGAUUGGCCCGCGUUGGAUUAGGUAGUUGGUGGGGUAAUGGCCUACCAAGCCGACGAUCCAUAGCUGGUUUGAGAGGAUGAUCAGCCACACUGGGACUGAGACACGGCCCAGACUCC
rnacentral:rRNA from 1 species